rnacentral:rRNA from 1 species
CGGUCCAGACUCCUACGGGAGGCAGCAGUGGGGAAUAUUGCACAAUGGGCGCAAGCCUGAUGCAGCCAUGCCGCGUGUGUGAAGAAGGCCUUCGGGUUGUAAAGCACUUUCAGCGGGGAGGAAGGCGAUAAGGUUAAUAACCUUGUCGAUUGACGUUACCCGCAGAAGAAGCACCGGCUAACUCCGUGCCAGCAGCCGCGGUAAUACGGAGGGUGCAAGCGUUAAUCGGAAUUACUGGGCGUAAAGCGCACGCAGGC